ACAAACCCCUGCCGGGAAGUGCUGCCCGUCCGGAUGGCUGCUCGGAAAGGCCUCAAGGGAGCAAGAGACCCCAAAAAGAGCCUCUUUCACCCCUUUUCACUUUCCUGCUCGGUGGUGGGCUUUGUGAUCUCUGUAAAGUAUCCCUGUGGUAGGAACUUCAAGAAGCGUUCCCAGCAAAACAGUUCGGUGCUAACCAUUUGGGACAGUUUCCUGAGGGGUCACUUUGCUGUCUGAUCCUCAUAGGAUUAAGUCAACAUGAAUGCUCUCACUGCUUUUUCCUCUUCCUUCCCAUCUCUCUCUGUCAGGAUGACUGAUGUUAUUCAGCGACUGUCUUGUUUGUUUUCCUAAAAUCUAAAUUAGGUAGCACUUAGUCAAAAUUUUGUCCUGGUGCCAUCACUUAUGAACCAACACAAAACAGACAGAUGCCUAAAUCCAUGUCAGCCCCCAGAACUGAGCUUGUUCUACAUCAGCAGUUUAUCAGUAUUCCGUAGGCUGCCCUUCUAGCAAGCAACACUCCUUCACCCUGCAGCUUUGGCCCUCAUGCAACAUUCUGAAGAAAUUUCAUGUCUCUGAUCCCCAGGGAUUGAAAACCCCUCAGAGUGCUGAUCCUCAGAGCAAGCACUGCACCAGCAGGUCCCCUGAGCCCUUACCAAAGUGGCUGCAUCAUCAAGGGAGAGGACAGAUGCUCCCACAGAAAGGCAUGUACUGUGUAUGCUUCUCGGUGUUUUAAAGGCCAGGGGGGCUAUUUUUAGAGCUGAAACAACAUUCCUCCUGCUUUGGCAUUUCAAAUCUUGUGUUAUCCUGAACUAAUAAAUGUUUCCUUCAGCAUUUGCUUUUUUGCAACCCCACAAAAUCCAGAGAUCUUGGCCAAGUUUCCCCUCUGCAUGCACCUGACACUGCCCCAUGGCACUGCCACGCUGAGGAGCCACAAGUGACUUCCAGGCAUGGCUUCCUCCGUGUCACCAAGAGAGGCCCCAAAAUCUGGUGCCCGGAAAAAAAAUAUGCUUGAGGUAUCAGCAUUAACCACAUCCCUCCCUGCAAGGCUUCUUGUGACAGCAAGAGUCGAGGAAGCUCACUUUAAAAGUAAUUGAGGGGAGGUCUUUGAAUCCCAGUACCCUUCAGCAGCUGAGGCUGAAAAAAAUCUUCUGCCAAAAGGUGAGAAGUGACAGUGCUCUGGCCAAAGUGCCCCAGCGAUUUUGGCCAGAAAGGAAAAUGCAGAAACUGCCUUAGUCACUUCACCUCUGCUGUCAGCCAGUGCUGGAAGGGAAACAAUGCACCAUAUGGGAUUUUAAGGCAAUUGCAUUUUUGGUAAACUCUGAGUGUCUGAGACAUUUUGUUCACAGCUCCUUUUUGAGCAGAUGGUGUCCCUCUGAGUGCUGGGAAACGCAUGAUGCUGACAGGCCCACCAAAAACCUAUCACAAAUUUAAAAAUCACAGCUUGAAAAAAGGGCACAGCCUGGGGACAGCAAGCAUGUGUUGGAGCCCACCCAGUGCAGAAAGCAAGAGAGAUGCAGGGAGGCAUCAGCCAUAAGGGUUGAUGUUAUGUGGGUCCUUGGAGACAUUUCCUACAAUGAUUUCUUCAUGGAACACCAUUGGAGGUGCAGCCCCUCUCCCACAACCCUCAUCCUGCAAAGCAAAGCAAUCUCAUGCCCCUCUAGUUGUUGUCCUUCCCAAGGUGAAAUUACCAUUGAAGACUGGCUGUGGUUAGCCUGGGUUUUUUUGGGAGGAAAAGGUACACAAAGAUGAGGAAAAUAAAAACGGGAAUUGCCAUGAGUUUGCUUUCAUUUCUGGGAGAUACAUGUCUUCUGAAACUAUAUUUGCCGCCUUUUCCUCCUGUCCUGCUCCUUUCUGCUCCAAAGGUGGAGUGAGGCCUGACAGGAAAGGUUGCCCGCCCAGAAAGAGGAGCAGUGGGGAAAUGGGCCUGGGGACCACUCAGCAGCAGCCAGUGGAGCUGCUCCACACCCCGAGGCUUGUAUGAAAUACAGUUAAAACUGUUAAGUACCAGUUAAAACUGUUUCUCAGUUGAAGUGUUAACCCUCAUUUCAUUAGUCAGAUCAUCUCCUAUCAAGCCAUCUGUUCCUUUAUCGAGCUUUUCAAAUAUUGUGAUAGAUUUCAUAUCUCCACAUGCCCUGCUGAUAAACAGAUGCCACCUAAGCAAGCCCACCUGUGGCUUGGUUGUGACAAGAUUAGAUCCUCCUCUAGAGAUUGUGCCAAAUCCCAGGGGUCCCAGGGCAGUCCAGAGUUGCUUGAGCCACCCCAUGCCAGAAAGCUGCUGACCUGCUUGGGAGUUUCCACUUGGAAGGAGCGCACAGCUCCAGAGCCAACGCUGAAUUUCAUAAGGGCCCCAGCAGUUCUGGGAAAAGGUAAAACCAAUCCAGUGCCUGCUGUGUGCCAGAGCUGAGAGCCUGGAGACAGUGCAACAGUGCAGGAGGCAAGGGACAAAUACCUGCUCCCACUGCUAAGGGCUGUUAUUCCAGAUGGGUCACGGUGCCAGGAGCAGAGUUAGAGACAACACAAGGUCAGGCACCACAGACCAUCGGGUCUCAGAAGACAGUCACUGGCUAAGUCCAGCCUACAGCCAGCCACCAAUCCACCAGCAGUCCCUCAACCCUUCUGCACUGCUCAGAAAGCUCUAGCCAGCUUUCAACAAUCAAAUCAGCAAGAGAAGUGCCAACGUCCACAGAAAUAAGUGCAGCUCAUGCCCUAGUACCCACCCUGCCAAGGCUCCACAACUUCCCCACAUCACUUCAUUCAACAGUGGAUGAAUCCUGUAGCUAUCCUGGGAAAUGGCAGUGGCCCUUCCUACAUCAUACUGAGGAAGAGAAAACCACACUAAAGAACAUGACCCAACUGUUAAAAAAAAAUCAAAACAAAUUAGCAAAAAGUUCAAAACAAACACAAAAAUACAAACAAACAAAAAAAAGGCAAAAAAGGAAGUGCACAGAAGUAUUCAUUUUUUUAUCAAAAUUCAAGGCACCUCUUAAUAAAUCUAGUUUUCCUGUAAAGGCACUUUUUUAUCAACUCUACCACAUGGAUAAUUUAAUCUACAAAAAGAGGGAUUCAGGUAGCAUAAGCUUCCAGAUAAAGCAUUUGAUGGAGGAGCUUUUUCUUUUCUGAACAAUGUUUCUUUUCAGUUUCCAAAACUGAACUUGACAAUGGCUUCAAUUUCAGUUUUCAGAUCCCUGAAAUACACUGGAACUGCUGCUGCUUUUGAAGUCUUAUGCCUUGGGGGAGGGUGGGGGGAAUAUUACCUUGUAAUUUCAGGUACUCAGAGAGGUUCAGAACAGCAUGUGCCUCUUAGCAAGGCCCCUUAUUCUUCUUACAGCAGGCACUUGACAGGAACGAGCCUAAGGAAGUCCAAGCAGUAGCAGUACAAAAGAAAAAUUAUAAGGAUCAACAGGAAGCCGUGUAUCUUGGUGCAUUCCCUGUAGUUCUGCGGUCAGGAAAUUGCACAGAGGAAAGGAUGAGAGCAGCGGUGAGAUCAGGCAUUUGCACAUCUCCCAAGCUUCACUCCUACACUCACACCCCAAGCCCAAACCCAUUACACACAUCACUUUGAAGGCAGGUUCCCUAUGAUUUUUGCCAUGGAAAGAACAGUUCUAUCUUUCUAACCAGCAGGUCAGGAGCCUCUCAGCUCCAGGAGCCCAUUUCCACACCAUCCUGCAGGCACUGCAGCACGGGGUGGGGAGACAUCUCUUACUGUGUGUGUGUGUGUGUGUGUGUGUGUGUAAUUCCUCUGUCUGUCAAAUGGCUCUGAGUCUGGAUGAAUGCACAUCAAAACACAUCUUCAGGCACACCCACGUCUUCAGGCCCAUCUCAGCACAAACAAAGAGAACUUACAGCAAAAUCUAAAUAAAAUAUGUGAUAUUUUGGCCAAAGCACUGUCCUGUGAUCACACUGAGCUGGUAUUUUCUAUCAAAGCGGGAUUUUCACAUGCAAGAACUUGCCACGGUCUCCUUUCAAGAUUAUGUCGGCUUCCAGUUUCUUUUCCCCUCUAUCAGCUUGGCCAGGAAGCCCAAAGUAAUCAAAUUCCUCAGUGCCCUUCCAUUUGACAGCCUCCUCUUCCCCUGACAUUCAGAAAUGCUGAGGGGGGAGGUAUUUUGAGCUGCACCAAAUGUGUAGCUGGAAAUGCCAAGCGAAACACUGCUGUAAUUCUGAUGUGUGAUGCACAAAGACCUUUGCUUUGGGAGAUGUUUCAAAAUUAAACACAGUGGCCAGGCUAACUCAUAACUGUUUAUUGUAAAUCACUCAAGAGUUUACACAUCAUUAAUGGCAAAAGAACACUUUUAAAACACCUGCUGGAUGAAAGACAGAAUAAAGACAACUCUUUUAUAUUAUAUGGCAUCAUUUGAAAAACAAGAAACAGAACAAAAAAGAAACCAUUUUAUUUUUUUCCCCCACUUUUGCAUCUUUCCUGAAAAUAUCUGGGCCUGAGUCUCAGUUAUCUUGAGAUCCCUGCCUUGCCCAGGGUGUGGGGCUGUGUGUCUGGGAAGCAGGCACUCCCUCUCCGAGGGGCAAGGCAGUGACAUUCUUUAUAAAUGAAAAUCAUGCCCUCUAUCUUCAAAAGUGCUCCAGUGCUGACAGUAUAAAGCCUCUCUCCUGCACUGGCUAACAUCUAACACAAAGGGCUACAUGUCCCAUUAAAUCCACAUGCCUUUUUUUU